UUGACCUCAAAUCAGGUAGGAGUACCCGCUGAACUUAAGCAUAUC
rnacentral:rRNA from 1 species